GGUUUGAUUAUGGCUCAGAUUGAACGCUGGCAGGAUCUUUACGUAAGUCAGACAGCAGCACGGACUUCGGUCUGGUGGCGAGUAGCGAACGGGUGAGUAAUGUAUCGGAACGUGCUAGUGGCGGGGAUAACUACGCGGCGUAGCUAAUACCACCAUGCAUGCCGAGGGAAAGCGGGGGACCUUCGGGCCUCGCACUAUUAAACUGACCGAUAUCGGAUAGCUAAGUUGGUGGGGUAACGGCUCACCAAGGCGACGAUCCGUAGCUGGUUUGAGAGGACGACCAGCUGGGACUGAGACACGGCCCAGACUCCUGCAAGGAGGCAGCAGUGGGAAUUUUGGACAAUAGGGAAACCUGAUCCAGCCAUCCCGUGUGCGAUGAAGGCCUUCGGGGUUGUAAGCACUUUUUGGCAGGAAAGAAACAGCCUGGGAUAAUACCCCCGUGCAACUGACAGGGUACCUGCAAGAAUAAAGCACCGGCUAACUACGUGCGGCAACCGCGGUAAUACGUAAGUGCAAGCGUUAAUCGGAAUUACUGGGCGUAAAGCGUGCGCAGGCGGUUCGGAAAGAAAGAUGUGAAAUCCCAGAGCUUAACUUUGGAACUGCAUUUUAACUACCGAGCUAGAGUGUGUCAGGGAGGUGGAAUUCCGCGUGUUAGCAGUGAAAUGUAGAUAUGCGGAGGAACACCGAUAGCGAAGGCAGCCUCCUGGGAUAACACUGACGCUCAUGCACAAAAGCGUGGGGAGCAAACAGGAUUAGAUACCCUGGUAGUCCACGCCUAAACGAUGUCAACUAUUUGGGGCCUUCGGGCCUUGGUAGCGCAACUAACGCGUGAAGUUGACCGCCUGGGGAAAUACAGUCGCAGAUUAAAACUCAAAGGAAUUGACGGGGACCCACUACAAGCGGUGGAUGAAGUGGAUUAAUUCGAUGCAACGCGAAAAACCUUACCUACCCUUGGUAUGUCUGAGAUCGAAGAGAUUUGGGAGUGCUCGCAAGAAGAACCGGAACAGGUGCUGCAUGGCUGUCGUCGUGUCGUGAGAUGUUGGGUUAAGUCCGCAACGAGCGCAACCCUUGUCAUUAGUUGCUACAGGCACUCUGAGACUGCCGGUGAUAAACCGGAGGAAGGUGGGGAUGACGUCAAGUCCUCAUGGCCCUUAUGGGUAGGGCUUCACGUCAUACAAUGGUCGGGACAGAGGGUCCCUGCGCCAACCGCGAGGGGAGCCAAUCCCGGCCCGAUCGUAGUCCGGAUCGCAGUCUGCAACUCGACUGCGUGAAGUCGGAGAAUCGCUAGUAAUCGCCGGAUCAGCAUGUCGCGGUGAAUACGUUCCCGGGUCUUGUACACCGCCCGUCACACCAUGGGGAGUGGGUUUUACCAAGUAGAUUAGCCUAACCAUGGGAAAGGGCGAUUACCCAGUAAGGAUUCAUGACUGGUGAAGUCAUGCCAGGUAA
rnacentral:rRNA from 1 species